rnacentral:rRNA from 1 species
AGCGUACACGGUGGAUGCCCUGGCAGUCAGAGGCGAUGAAGGACGUGCUAAUCUGCGAUAAGCGUCGGUAAGGUGAUAUGAACCGUUAUAACCGGCGAUUUCCGAAUGGGGAAACCCAGUGUGAUUCGUCACACUAUCAUUAACUGAAUCCAUAGGUUAAUGAGGCGAACCGGGGGAACUGAAACAUCUAAGUACCCCGAGGAAAAGAAAUCAACCGAGAUUCCCCCAGUAGCGGCGAGCGAACGGGGAGCAGCCCAGAGCCUGAAUCAGUGUGUGUGUUAGUGGAAGCGUCUGGAAAGGCGCGCGAUACAGGGUGACAGCCCCGUACACAAAAAUGCACAUACUGUGAGCUCGAUGAGUAGGGCGGGACACGUGGUAUCCUGUCUGAAUAUGGGGGGACCAUCCUCCAAGGCUAAAUACUCCUGACUGACCGAUAGUGAACCAGUACCGUGAGGGAAAGGCGAAAAGAACCCCGGCGAGGGGAGUGAAAAAGAACCUGAAACCGUGUACGUACAAGCAGUGGGAGCACAGAGCAAUCUGUGUGACUGCGUACCUUUUGUAUAAUGGGUCAGCGACUUAUAUUCUGUAGCAAGGUUAACCGAAUAGGGGAGCCGAAGGGAAACCGAGUCUUAACUGGGCGUUAAGUUGCAGGGUAUAGACCCGAAACCCGGUGAUCUAGCCAUGGGCAGGUUGAAGGUUGGGUAACACUAACUGGAGGACCGAACCGACUAAUGUUGAAAAAUUAGCGGAUGACUUGUGGCUGGGGGUGAAAGGCCAAUCAAACCGGGAGAUAGCUGGUUCUCCCCGAAAGCUAUUUAGGUAGCGCCUCGUGAAUUCAUCUCCGGGGGUAGAGCACUGUUUCGGCAAGGGGGUCAUCCCGACUUACCAACCCGAUGCAAACUGCGAAUACCGGAGAAUGUUAUCACGGGAGACACACGGCGGGUGCUAACGUCCGUCGUGAAGAGGGAAACAACCCAGACCGCCAGCUAAGGUCCCAAAGUCAUGGUUAAGUGGGAAACGAUGUGGGAAGGCCCAGACAGCCAGGAUGUUGGCUUAGAAGCAGCCAUCAUUUAAAGAAAGCGUAAUAGCUCACUGGUCGAGUCGGCCUGCGCGGAAGAUGUAACGGGGCUAAACCAUGCACCGAAGCUGCGGCAGCGACGCUGAUGCGUUGUUGGGUAGGGGAGCGUUCUGUAAGCCUGUGAAGGUGUACUGUGAGGUAUGCUGGAGGUAUCAGAAGUGCGAAUGCUGACAUAAGUAACGAUAAAGCGGGUGAAAAGCCCGCUCGCCGGAAGACCAAGGGUUCCUGUCCAACGUUAAUCGGGGCAGGGUGAGUCGACCCCUAAGGCGAGGCCGAAAGGCGUAGUCGAUGGGAAACAGGUUAAUAUUCCUGUACUUGGUGUUACUGCGAAGGGGGGACGGAGAAGGCUAUGUUGGCCGGGCGACGGUUGUCCCGGUUUAAGCGUGUAGGCUGGUUUUCCAGGCAAAUCCGGAAAAUCAAGGCUGAGGCGUGAUGACGAGGCACUACGGUGCUGAAGCAACAAAUGCCCUGCUUCCAGGAAAAGCCUCUAAGCAUCAGGUAACAUCAAAUCGUACCCCAAACCGACACAGGUGGUCAGGUAGAGAAUACCAAGGCGCUUGAGAGAACUCGGGUGAAGGAACUAGGCAAAAUGGUGCCGUAACUUCGGGAGAAGGCACGCUGAUAUGUAGGUGAAGUCCCUCGCGGAUGGAGCUGAAAUCAGUCGAAGAUACCAGCUGGCUGCAACUGUUUAUUAAAAACACAGCACUGUGCAAACACGAAAGUGGACGUAUACGGUGUGACGCCUGCCCGGUGCCGGAAGGUUAAUUGAUGGGGUUAGCGCAAGCGAAGCUCUUGAUCGAAGCCCCGGUAAACGGCGGCCGUAACUAUAACGGUCCUAAGGUAGCGAAAUUCCUUGUCGGGUAAGUUCCGACCUGCACGAAUGGCGUAAUGAUGGCCAGGCUGUCUCCACCCGAGACUCAGUGAAAUUGAACUCGCUGUGAAGAUGCAGUGUACCCGCGGCAAGACGGAAAGACCCCGUGAACCUUUACUAUAGCUUGACACUGAACAUUGAGCCUUGAUGUGUAGGAUAGGUGGGAGGCUUUGAAGUGUGGACGCCAGUCUGCAUGGAGCCGACCUUGAAAUACCACCCUUUAAUGUUUGAUGUUCUAACGUUGACCCGUAAUCCGGGUUGCGGACAGUGUCUGGUGGGUAGUUUGACUGGGGCGGUCUCCUCCUAAAGAGUAACGGAGGAGCACGAAGGUUGGCUAAUCCUGGUCGGACAUCAGGAGGUUAGUGCAAUGGCAUAAGCCAGCUUGACUGCGAGCGUGACGGCGCGAGCAGGUGCGAAAGCAGGUCAUAGUGAUCCGGUGGUUCUGAAUGGAAGGGCCAUCGCUCAACGGAUAAAAGGUACUCCGGGGAUAACAGGCUGAUACCGCCCAAGAGUUCAUAUCGACGGCGGUGUUUGGCACCUCGAUGUCGGCUCAUCACAUCCUGGGGCUGAAGUAGGUCCCAAGGGUAUGGCUGUUCGCCAUUUAAAGUGGUACGCGAGCUGGGUUUAGAACGUCGUGAGACAGUUCGGUCCCUAUCUGCCGUGGGCGCUGGAGAACUGAGGGGGGCUGCUCCUAGUACGAGAGGACCGGAGUGGACGCAUCACUGGUGUUCGGGUUGUCAUGCCAAUGGCACUGCCCGGUAGCUAAAUGCGGAAGAGAUAAGUGCUGAAAGCAUCUAAGCACGAAACUUGCCCCGAGAUGAGUUCUCCCUGACUCCUUGA